UGCAUUAGUCCAUCAACUCACGAAGCUUCUUUGUCUCUGGACUUGCGUAUCCACUGCUCAUAAAAAGUUAAGUGUUUCUGUUCACAGGCAGACUUCCUAACUAUUGCUUUAGUGAUUUCUUUUCCUUUAUAUUUUUUGCAGGCUGUAAGGCUGCAUUUAUGGUGGUGCCAAUACUGAAUUAUAUCUUUUUACCCUUUUGUUUUUUAUUGCAGUUUGUUCGCUUUCUCCCUUGCUCUUUUCCGCCCUCUUUCACCCUCUCGGGUAGGGCCAAGAGUGCUCAUGGCAGUUCAUUAAGGAUGGAAGGAACCCUAAUGGUACUCUCUUAAAGACAAAUAAAUGUAGGGCAAGCAGGUGACAACACUCUCCAGCCUUCUGCCUUCAAAUAGCUCCACACAUCUUUGUACUGUCAUUGAGGCUUUGUAUUUAAAAUCAGUUCAUGACACAUUUUGAGACGUUAAUAGUCAUUGUUCCCUGGUUAUGCAACAGCCCUCUCUUAAUUUAAUGAGAAAUGUUCUCCAUGGACUCAGAUGUUUGACACUUGGUUCCCAGUUGCUACCACUGUUUGGGAAGGCUGAAGUAACACAGACUUACUGGAGCAAUUAUGUCUCCAAGGAUUGAUUUUCAGAGUUCAUAGCCUCACCCUAGUCCCAGUUUUCUCUCUCUGUUCCAUGUUUACAUUUGAAACUGUGAGCUCUCAGUGUCCUUGUGUGGUCACCAUGCCUGCCACUUACUGCCAUAUCUCCCCACAUGAUGGACUCUUACCCAAUGGAACCACAGCCCAAAAAUAAACUCUUACUUGAGUUAUUUUUGGUUAAUGGUGUUUUGUUGCAGCAACAGAAAAGCUAAUCCACCAUCUCCCUAUUCUUGAGACAUCAAAAUAGUAAUAUAAUCAUUCAAAAAUUUAAAAUUAUUUGCUAAUGCACCAUUUUUGGUAACUGUGUUAUCUCAAAAAUAGCAAUUAUUUGACCUUUAAUGUUAAUCAGGGUCACUUUUGAGAAACCAAUACCCUAGAAAAUUAGAACUCCAAGUUUCAAAUUGAUCUUCAGAAAGACAUAAGAAAAAGAAAAUGGCUCUAGGUGGGGUUGUCAGAAUUUAAAGUCUUCCGUUGUGUUUUGAGGCAGUCACACUAUGUAGCUUACAUUGCACUGGCUGUCCUCAAACUGGAGAUUCACUGCCUCAGCUGUUUAAGUUGCUGAGGUGAUGGGCAUUCAAAACCAAGCCUAGAGGAAAUUUGACGUCUUGAUGAAAAGGCUCAACUUGUAUCCUGGGUUGCUGAGUGAUGGAAAUCCUUUGGAUUAUGUUGUAAUUGGUGCUUUAGAGAAACAGGAAUAGAGGAGCAAUGAGUAGAUCCAUUCUAUGUACAAUAGAAUCCACAUUAGAGUAAUCUGUCUCACUGAGCAACGAUUGGAGAAAGUAUACUGUUUACUUCAUCUCUAUAACUUGGGAGAUAAAAUGUUAGACUCUUGGUGUGCUAUAGUUCAAGAGACCUCAGUCAUUUAAUUCAACUCCUACAUUUUAAACAGAAAAGCUUCCAUUUAAGCUGCAUAACUAGCUUAGAGUCUCAUAGAGUUUAGGGAAGACCAAGCAAAGCUCCACAAGUCAUUGUCCAGUAUUCUUCAUUAAAAUCGAUGUUUUUAUUUUUUUUCCCAGUAACUAAAGAAUGGUACAGGGCAACAUUAUUUUUUUCUCACCUGUCCUCUGACUGCAAGGCCCAGCGUCACUACGAUUUUAUCAAGAGGCAGUCGCUAGAGCGGGUACCUGUGGUAUGAGUGCCCUGUGCCUGAGCCAUGCCUUGUCUGUACCUGAAGAGAUUUUAUUUUACAGACUGAUUGCUCACAUCACCUAUGAUCUCACAUCUCCCUGUUGGAAUCAAUUGCAUUACCUGCCACAAAUCAUUGUGUCUGCAGGGUGUUCAUUCUGAGACAAAAUUACAGGCCUCUUAUCUAUUUGUGGGGAGGUGAAAGCAGGGGUGUGCUCAUGAAUUUCAGAGCUGAGCACCCCGACUCAUCCUCAGGAAGGAAAAAAGCAAGAAGAUGACAUGUUUUCCAUCAGUGGACUGAACUCUGGAAGGCCGAGAGUACUUCUGCUUUACAUUUAGAUUAAAUGUUCUUUCUCCCAACAGCUUCCUGGUGAUUACCACGGAGGGAUUUCAGAUGAUGAGGGGGUAGUUACAUUCCCCUCACAUACACUUGGUCUUUCUUUGGACUUCUGAGGUGUGCGGGGGACAGAAAGGCUAGUGCUGAUGGGUUCCCUGACUCAGCCCUUUGACUAUCACUUUCUGUGGAUGGAAAUAGGCUUUCAAAGUGAGAUGCUUCUCACUGGGGAUUUCAGAAUCAGCCAUCAUCUUGAGAGCAGGGUUGCCUAUAAAGGCAUUAAUUAACAAGGCAGGUCUGUGGGAAAUGCAAACAGCACUCUGGGUUAGAGGUGAUCAUUUUCCACUUUACCUUAAAAUUCAGAUUCAUUUGUGGUUCUGCUUUCAAUACUGGUCCACUUUCCUUUAAAAAGAAGUAUUUUUUUUAUGAUGUGAAUCAUAUCUUAAGUUCUUUUUAUUAUGGAUAGUUCAUAUGUAUUUGUAUGUUGUUUAUUUACUUCUUGAACCAAGAGAGGUCUUUGAAAUUCCUGUCACAGUCACAAAUUGCUUCUGUGGUCACCUAGCAACAUGGAUAUAACACAUUCUGAGUUGUACGGAGGAGUUUUACUUGUGUACUUUAUUGUAUUAUGCAGGGUGUUUGAGAAAACAAGAGGCAGGGAAAUCAAUAGGAAGAGCAGAGAGGCUUUCCAUUGUUUCUUCCCCACAACUCCCGGGAACAUCUGUUCUCAUUAAUCUCUAGUGCCUUGCUCCAUGUGAUAGACACAUCCUGCAUUUCUAUUCAUCUUAAACAGGGUCUGCUGAGAACUGUUGUUGCAUAGCAAUAUGGGCAGAUGCUUUUAAAAUGUGUGUUUUUCAAUGGAUUCCAAAGGAACAGCUUUGUCCAGCAGGGUGAGAACAGAACAAAGCAUGUUUCACCUUAUGGGUAUUGGUAUGUUGCUGAGGUCAAAAACACUUUAGGCUCAGUUUAACAAAUUGGGUGGUCUUAGCUUAAUUUCUUGCAGAGUACCAGAGUGGGGUUAAUGUUGACAAGUGCGUAGUGAAUUAUGUUCGAGUUUCCCUAAUGUGGUCUGUGAACGACUGUAGCUCAGUACCACCAUAUGGUACGGAAACAUUAGGAAAGUCUCCAUUAGGAAAAUUAGCUACUUUAAAAUUCAAAAUGAAGAUUACCUGAUAAAAAUUCUGGAACAAGAUUGGGAUCCUAUAUAGCCUGACUUUUUUGGAAAUUUAAAAGUUAAAAAGGCGAUGAAUUUUAGAGUCAGACACAUAAAUUUGAAAGACACAUAAUAUAAGAAUUUAGCCAAUUUUACCUUGGAAAAAGUAGUUUAAUCUCACUAAACCUAAAUAUUACCACGCAUAAAGUUUAAAUAAAACUGUCUACCCUGCUUGGUGGUGGUGGUGCAUGCCUUUAAUUCCAGGAAUAAAGCUGUCUACUUUGCCUGGUGGCGGCGGUGCAUGCCUUUAAUUCUGGGAAUAAAGCUGUCUACCCUGCCUGGUAGUGGUGGUGCAUGCCUUUAAUCCCAGGUAGAGGCAGGUGGCUCUCUGAGUUUGAGGACAGCCUGGACUACUGAGCAAUUUCCAGGACAGCCUGGACUACACAGAGAAACCCUGUCUUGAAAAAACCCAACCAAUCAAUCAAACAACAAACAAAAUUGUCUACAUUAAGGGAUGACAAGAACCAAGUUGGUGUGGAUUUUCAUACUCCUUCCACAACAGAAGAGAAGACGUGGAAAGAAUUCAUCAUGACCCCAAGUGUGUCACGAAAACGCAGCAGUAUGCGAGGCAAGCAAAAGCAGUGCUCAUAUUCCCGCUCAUCCAGUGACCUCCUGCAUCUCAGUGCUGUCAGCAUUGUUCAAGUUCAGAAGCAUGACAUCACUGAAUUCUAUUAGAACAGCCUGCACUGAUGGGAAGAAAGUCAACGAGAAACAUAUGUAUUUGUUAGCAAGAAAGGGAAACCAGUGGCCAUAUUUUUUGUGGCUCAUAUCAAUUCCAUUGCUUCAAAAUGAUUUCUGCAGUAGCAGAAAUGACAUCACCAGAUUGACUGUAAUAAGUCAUCUCACCAAGGAGAGCAGGAUGAACACCGAGAGCUGCUGGGAAGGAGCAGCACCAGCCCUGGCCUGACCACUUGUGGAAGUCUGGUCUCCAUUCUGCCUGAUACAAAGGACGUCUGUGGAAGUGCUCAGCCGAGCAAACAGGAAUGUGUUGUGUCUCCGAGAUUUCCUGUCCACCCCCCUCCUUUUCUUUUCCCCACAGAGAUGGAUCUUUUGGUGAGAAGACAUCUGUGCUUUCUUCUUUCUCUUCAAGACUGAAUGUCAUGAUUUAGGACACACGAAUGUAAUUUCAAGUUUGACUGCCUGCUGGUUUAUUUCAUGCACCUGCUUUUAGAGGAAGGAGAGACACGAUUUUAAAAGGCCAUUUUGAGGCCAGAGAUGACAUUUGACCUGAGAUGUCCCACAGGAACAGGGGAAACAGAAGUACUUAUUCAUAAUGGGUGACUUACACAAGGAAGAACACAUUCUCAAUUAUAUUUAUAUCAUCAACACAUAGACUUUUUCAUAACUUAUUAUUUUGUAGAUUUUUAUCCGGUUCACAAAAACCAGUUUCUAUUUAUAGCUAUAUAUCUGUCUUGAUUUAUAAGUUAAAGAUUUUUUUCGUAAACGUCA